AACGAACGCUGGCGGCAUGCCUAACACAUGCAAGUCGAACGAAGGCUUCGGCCUUAGUGGCGCACGGGUGAGUAACGCGUGGGAAACUGCCAAUUGGUGGGGAAUAACGACGGGAAACUGUCGCUAAUACCGCAUAAGCCCUUCGGGGGAAAGAUUUAUCGCCGAUAGAUGUGCCCGCGUCCGAUUAGCUAGGUGGUGAGGUAAUGGCUCACCAAGGCGACGAUCGGUAGCUUGUCUGAGAGGAUGAUCAGCCACACUGGGACUGAGACACGGCCCAGACUCCUACGGGAGGCAGCAGUGGGGAAUAUUGGACAAUGGGCGAAAGCCUGAUCCAGCAAUGCCGCGUGAGUGAUGAAGGCCUUAGGGUUGUAAAGCUCUUUCGGGUGGGACGAUGAUGACGGUACCACCAGAAGAAGCCCCGGCUAACUUCGUGCCAGCCGCCGCAGUAA
rnacentral:rRNA from 1 species